rnacentral:rRNA from 1 species
AUUGAACGCUGGCGGAAUGCUUUACACAUGCAAGUCGAGCGGCAGCAGGGCGUUCGCGCUGGCAUCGAGCGGCGGACGGGUGAGUAAUGCAUAGGAACAUGCCCGGUCGUGGGGGAUAACGCUUGGAAAGGAGUGCUAAUACCGCAUACGUCCUGAGGGAGAAAGCGGGGGAUCGCAGGACCUCACGCGAUUAGAUGAGCCUAUGUCAGAUUAGCUAGUUGGUGGGGUAAAGGCCUACCAAGGCGACGAUCUGUAGCUGGUCUGAGAGGAUGAUCAGCCACACUGGGACUGAGACACGGUCCAGACUCCUACGGGAGGCAGCAGUGGGGAAUUUUGGACAAUGGGGGCAAGCCUGAUCCAGCCAUUCCGCGUGAGUGAAGAAGGCCUUCGGGUUGUAAAGCUCUUUCGGUAGGAACGAAACGGUGGAAUUUAACAUAGUCCUCUAAUGACGUUACCUGAAGAAGAAGCACCGGCUAACUACGUG